GGUGGUUCAGUGGUAGAGCACUUGCCUUGCAUGCAUGAGGCCCUGGGUUCGAUUCCUCAGUACCA
rfam:Dipodomys ordii contig_68009, whole genome shotgun sequence.